rnacentral:lncRNA from 1 species
UUUUUAAUCAUCUUACUCUUAGUCUCUUUCCAUUAAUCUUUCCCAUUAAAGUUUUUCCUUUUGAGUUUUGACUCCUAAUAUCACUUUUCAUGACCACUUGUACAGAUGGCCGGUUGGCUACCAAGGACAUCUACCCACUUACUCUACCGCAGUUUCCUUUGAUUGCAAUUGUCGGCAAAGCAGAUACAAUUGGACUAUGUUUGUCUUGACGUCGUUGGCAACUUUCAAAUGCAUUCCUCAUUGAUGCAGAGGCUCUCACCAGAAAAGGAAAUGGAAAGGCGAGCUAAUUAAUAAGUAGAUAUUGAAGGGGACCUACAUGCAGUAGUGGCCCCACAACAGCGCUGGACAUACACAAUUGACAAAUGCAGGAGCAAUUAUCCAGAAAAUCCGUCGAAUCUUUGUACUCUUUUAAGAGGUUCAUCUAUUAUGGUUUGGUGGGCAAGGAACGGGAUGGAUAAUUAUGACUUCUAAAUAUAUUUUAAAAAAUGUCGCGGGUAGUUUU